GUGAGCCAGUUGGAGUUCGAUUACCGCUCUUUCAGUUCAGUUCCAUUGAGAUGGACUGUUGUGAACUGGCAAGGUUUAUACGCGUUGAAACGUAUAUAUGGCUGAGAAGAGCGAAAUUAGGCUAGAAUGCCGGCUUUCUGCACUCGAUGUCGAAGAAGACACCGAGACAGAUGUGCUAGACGAUCCAUCGCCUUACGAGAGCGACACUGAAGAAGUAGAUAUUGACAGUUUUGUCAAGAGUA